UCAAAGCAACAUUCAUCAAAUGUUUUGUGGACAUUUACCUGAGAUGACAAAAUCUCAUAAUAUAUGUUAACAAAAGCUCAUAAAAUUGUAAGGAUAUUUUAAGGAAGCUGUUUAGGUAACAGAUUUUAGAAUUAUUUUAACCUAUAGAAUAAUGGCAUAAUUUUCCAUAAUGAAAGAGGAACAUUGUCAAAACAGCAUACAUAAAGUGUUUUGAGGAUAUAUUAGGCUACUCUGAAAUGAACUGUUGCGACAAAUGCGUUUACAAGAGAUGAGAAGCUGAUUGGAGGUCGCUGUAGAUCGACGUUUAAAACCACCAAUCACAGCGCGAUGUUCCCAUGACGUAAGAACAUUUGAACUCGACAAACAGCGCAAAUAAAGCAACGUUUCUGUUGAAGAAAUCGGCGCAGAAUGUCCGUUGUCUAAAUUGGCGACAUAUUGGCACAAAACAACAGAACUCCUGGUCAACGGAACUCUUUCACAACUACUCCAAACGGACUGUUUCAAGAUGAUUAACUUACCGAUGACACAAUAAAGUCUCCAUUUACAACCAAGAAUGGCAGUGAAUGGCCGUCUAUCAAGGCGCAUCCAUCCAUGAUAAAAGUAAUCCACCACAUGACUCUGGCGGGGUUAUAAAGCCCUUUUAAAGCGAAGCAUUUGUGCUAUGAGGAAAAACUCUACCGUGCACACAGAGAACAGAGCUCAAUGCUAACUGGGGGAGCAGCUGGACAACUAGAAGAGAGAAUAGUAGAACACUAUUAUUAAUACAGAUUCCUGGAUUAUUCUUCUGCAAGAACCAAAACAAGCAAAGACUGAUGAUGAGUGCUCUGAGCAAACACCGGAGUCAAGACGCAUGAGUGACUUUACUGAGUUCUUCAUGUAAUGUUGGGCAUCUAC